GAACCGGGAGAGUGAAGACCCCUUUCCAGCCAGGAAUGCCAUCAGCAGAUGACUUCACUGAAAUCCCGCUGUCAUUCUCCUCUCAAAUUCGGAACGAGGAAACCAACUUGGCAGAUUUCUCCCACGUGGAUCCCAGCUGGAGUUGGCAGGAGUAAGGCAUUGGUUCUAAUAUGGGAAAGCAUCAAUACUGCCUGGACAAUACAACAACCUGGGCCAAUUGACAUCAUACCCUCUAUGGCAAGCUGCACCUCUCAACAACUCAUCCACCUGCGUCUGCCAUCAAUGUCGCCACCACACGGGAUCCCUGGCUUUGACUUGGAGAAGAGAAAAAGAAAGAACGGAAGAGUUAACCAUCGGAAGGAAGGGCGGGUUGUUAUCACUCAGCAGCCGCUGAGCUCCCUAAUGGUAAGUAGUGGUAAGUAUACCCCCUGGAGACCUGAUUAUAUAGGGGUUUC